rnacentral:rRNA from 1 species
UACAGAGGUCUCAAGCGUUGUUCGGAUUCAUUGGGCGUAAAGGGUGCGUAGGCGGCGCGGUAAGUCGGGGUGUGAAAUCUCGGAGCUUAACUCCGAAACUGCAUUCGAUACUGCCGUGCUUGAGGACUGGAGAGGAGACUGGAAUUUACGGUGUAGCGGUGGAAUGCGCAGAUAUCAGGAGGGAACACCGGUGGCGAAGGCGGGGAUCCUGGGCCAGUACUGACGCUGAGGAGCGAAAAGCGUGGGGAGCAAACAGGG